rnacentral:rRNA from 1 species
GACGAACGCUGGCGGCGUGCUUAACACAUGCAAGUCGAGCGGUAAGGCCCUUCGGGGUACACGAGCGGCGAACGGGUGAGUAACACGUGGUGACCUGCCCUCAGCUCUGGGAUAAGCCUGGGAAACCGGGUCUAAUACCGGAUAUGACUCCAUGACGCAUGUUGUGGGGUGAAAGCCUUGUGCGGCUGAGGAUGGGCCCGCGGCCUAUCAGCUUGUUGGUGGGGUGANGGCCUACCAAGGCGACGACGGGUAGCCGGCCUGAGA